GAUGAACGCUGGCGGCGUGCUUAACACAUGCAAGUCGAACGAAGCACUUUUGAUUGAUUUCCUCGGAAAGAUUUCACUUGUGACUGAGAGGCGGACGGGUGAGUAACGCGUGGGUCACCUGCCUCAUACAGGGGGAUAACAGGUAGAAAUGACUGCUAAUACCGCAUAAGCGCACAGCAUCGCAUGAUGCAGUGGGAAAAACUCCGGUGGUAUGAGAGGGACCCGCGUCUGAUUAGCUAGUUGGUGGGGUAACGGCCUACCAAGGCGACGAUCAGUAGCCGACCUGAGAGGGUGACCGGCCACAUUGGGACUGAGACACGGCCCAAACUCCUACGGGAGGCAGCAGUGGGGAAUAUUGCACAAUGGGCGAAAGCCUGAUGCAGCGACGCCGCGUGAACGAAGAAGUAUUUCGGUAUGUAAAGUUCUAUCAGCAGGGAAGAUAAUGACGGUACCUGACUAAGAAGCACCGGCUAAAUACGUGCCAGCCGCCGCGGUAAUAC
rnacentral:rRNA from 1 species